GGGGACUUCCUUUUUACUGGAGGUGAAGACGGUGCAAUUCACAUGUAUGAGAUUGUUAAUUAUGGCUAUGAGUCUAAAGCUUGGCAUGUUGCUGUUUAGGUUCCUCACUCGGCUGCUGUGUAUUCUCUUGCCUUUGAGUUUCCAUGGCUUGUUUCCGCAUCAAGUGAUGGCAAGCUGGCUCUAAUUGAUGUGAGAAAGCUGUUGAAGAUUAGCAAGCGAGCUCUGGGGAAGAGAGUCUCAAAGGUAAAGCAUUUGGGUGGAGACAUAGUAGAGCCUCCACAGAGGAUGUUGCACGGAUUUAAGAGCAAUCUUUUCUCUGUGGAUAUAGGAGCUGAACGAAUUGUCUGUGGAGGUGAAGAAGGUGUUGUUAGGAUCUGGAAUUUCACAGAAGCUUUGGAAAUUGAACGGAGAGCCCGUGCAUUAAGAGGAAUACGAUUAGACAACAGAAUGAGGCGACGGAAACUCCAGACAGAGCUGAGCAAUAAAAGUGGUCGGAGUGAUCAGUGUUCAGUUGCAGCCAAGAACAAUGCUGUCACUUGUAUUUGGCCCAAACGUGGGAUGAGCGGAAAGCUGAAAGCAUAGUGACUGAGGCAGUCUAAUGUUUGCUUAUAUGCACCAAUUAUCAAUCCUUAUUUUUUUUUUUUUACAAAAUUGAUGUAUAGAAUAUUUUAGUUUCAAGCAGGUAAACUGACCUGACCAAUUUUAAGUUCUCUUUACGUAUUAUGAUAUGAUUAGUUUCUGUAGGUAAUGAUCAGAUCAGACUACACCACUCUACAUUUCUAUUUGUACGAUUCUGAAAAUGAUAGUGUUUCUUUCCAAGAAUUGUUUUUACAAUUUUA